UUGAAAUAGUGAGCGUGUUCGAACAUCAACGAAGCCCUGCUUCCCUUAAUGACUUCUUCAAUCUCUGUUCUCUCUCCUACGCAUUGAUAUCGCUCUCUCUCAGUUGCCUCGAAUUAGAGAGAGAUUUCGAACAUCAACGAAGCCCCCUGCUGGUUCUCGCGCACACUGGUUCGAUCACCCUGAGGUAAACCAUGGCACUCUAUUUGGCAAGGACUACAUUGAAAUGAUUCAACAAAGAGAUGUCACACUGUCAACAAUGAUUCCUAGUGAAAGGGAGAAAUUAUGAAUUCUAUGUUCUAGGGCCCCAGUUUUCCAUAAUUAUGCUAGAGAGUCCAGUUGUUAGUUCAGUGACAAUCCCUACUUUGGGAAUUGGGAUCCUAGCCAGAGGAGGUAAGCAACAUCAGGUUAGUUUCUAUUUCUUGUCUUCUUACCUCUGUUAUGAUGAGCAUGGGAAUCAAGUCUGUAUAUAUCCCAUGUUGGGACAUGUAACAGCUUUUUAAUCAAAGAAUGGAACAGAGUUGAGUUGCAGAUAUGCUGCUGUUAGUAUAUUUUUGCUACCGCAGGCCACUGUCAGCAUAUUUCCUGGGUCAUUUCUUACAGGAGUGGAUUUUUCAGUUCUUCUCUCCUUUUAAGUUUAGCUGAGAUCAAUCAGACAGGUUAUAUAGACUUGAACAGUCCAAACUCAAUGGUUUAGAGAAAUUCUUUCAGAUUUUGAUAGAUAUACUUAGCCUCAGCAUGAAAUUGAAUUUCAGGAACAGAAAUUUGACUCUGAAUGUAAGCCCCAUAAAAUACACCCAAGUUUGUCUGAUUGAAUGGAAAAUUUGAUGACAAACCAAAUUUCCAAAGUUUUGUUUUUUCCCCCUGAAAGCAAGAAUCAAAGUACAGCACCAGACAACAAUGUUGUGUUAUGUUUUGGGAUCUUGAAUAGGUUUGAACUUAUUUGAUAGACCAUCUGUUAGGUCUGUAUUGUAUUGUCUAAAAACAGGAAGGG